GUGCUGUACAACAUUGUACUUUUACAUUCGAACUUUUAUAUCUGGGCGUCACUGGUAAGUCUUGUUGGACGAGGCGCGUUUUUGGCGUAUUGAAUUUUAAACCUGAUGCCUUUUGUUAUCUGUUAUUUGUGUGUUUUUUUUGCAUAAUACGUUCUCCUAUUUGUUUGUAUUGUGGUCCUGUAAUAUUAUGUUGUCAUUUUAGUGUUAUGUUUAACAUUGCCAUUAAAGUGCGAGGUUUGGCAUGCCACAAACCAGGUUCAACCCACCAUUUUUGCCUUUAAAAAUGUCCUGUACCAAGUCAGGAAUAUGGCCAUUGUUAUAUUAUAGUUCGUUUCUGUGUGUGUUACAUUUUAACGUUGUGUUUCCGUUGUGUCGUUUGUUUUCUCUUAUUUUUUAGUGUGAAUUCACAUUACUAUAAGACGUGUCACGGUACUUAUCUAUCCCAAAUUCAUGUAUUUGGUUUUGAUGUCAUAUUUGUUAUUCUCAUAGGAUUUUGUCUAAUGCUUAGUCCGUUUCUGUGUGUGUUACAUUUUAAUGUUGUGUCGUUGUUCUCCUCUUAUAUUUGAUGCGUUUCCCUCAGUUUUGGUUUGUUACCCCGAUUUUGUUUUUUGUCCCUGGAUUUAUGAGUUUUGAACAGAGGUAUGAUACUG
rnacentral:lncRNA from 1 species